rnacentral:tRNA from 1 species
UUUUAAAUAGUAUAAAUAGUACAAAUGCCUUCCAAGCAAAAGGUCUUGAAUAGUUUC